rnacentral:rRNA from 1 species
UACGUAGGGGGCUAGCGUUGUCCGGAUUUAUUGGGCGUAAAGAGCGUGUAGGCGGCCAGGUAGGUCUGCUGUGAAAACUCGAGGCUCAACCUCGAGACGUCGGCGGAAACCAUCUGGCUAGAGUCCGGAAGAGGAGAGUGGAAUUCCUGGUGUAGCGGUGAAAUGCGCAGAUAUCAGGAGGAACACCGGUGGCGAAGGCGGUCUCUGGGCGAUUGACCU